rnacentral:rRNA from 1 species
CCCUUAGAUGUUCUGGGCCGCACGCGUGCUACACUGAGUGGAUCAGCGGGUCAGGUUGCGCGAAAGCGUUUCCUAAUCUUUAAAUCCGCUCGUGAUGGGGAUUGACGGUUGCAAUUUUCUGUCAUGAACGAGGAAUACCUUGUAAGCGCGGGUCAUCAUCCCGCGCUGAGUACGUCCCUGCCCUUUGUACACACCGCCCGUCGCUCCUACCGAUUGAGUGAUCCGGUGAGGCUUUGGGAUCUGAGCGGAAAGAGCGUUUCGCUGUUUCUGCUCGGAAAACUCAGUCGAACCUUAUCAUUUAGAGGAAGGAGAAGUCGUAACA